CUCUCUCUCGUAGAUAUACGACGUAGCCAACUAUCGCUUUGAUCCUUGAUCCAUCAUCAUUCCAUAAUUGUCUCUUCGAUGCCAAUUCUUUACCCUCUUACAAUUAUCAAAAAUUCAUAUAUGAGAUUUUGAUUCAUUCAACAAACCACUUCCGUCUCUUAUAAUCGUCUUCUUUACACUUAUCUGAUUCCAGCCCUAGGUCUUCUAAGUUGUCAUCUCAGUCAAGAGGAGACGCCUCUGUCAAAGCCAACUCCAAGGAAACUGACCCAAGCUUGAGGAAAUUCUCAACAUCUUCAAGUUCGAUAAAUUCGAUGUCGAUGCCUUUGUCAACUCCAAGUGUAAUUCUUUGAACGAGAAGACGAAUCAUACGAGGAGGAAAGGUUGUUGUUGGUCGGAGAUGACAGAAAGAGGGGAAACACCACAACUAGGAGAUGAUAGAAAGAGGGGUAACAUCAAAGAGAUGCGUAUGAAAUAGACUGUAUCAGAUUUGCUGGUUGUGUUCGAGAUCGUGCUUGACUAAAAGGUAGGUGGGGAAACAAAGCUAUUUUGUUAGCGAUGGUUCCUGGCCUUGGAUCAGUUAUGCCGUCGGUUAGGCCACCUCCCCCCACCAUUGCCUUCGCCGACUCAAAGCACUGUUUUUUCAUCUCCAACCACCAUUACCUUUUCCAUAAGCCACCUUGAACCACCACCCUUUGGGUCACCUCCGUCAAACCCUUAUCUCUCUCUUUCUAUACCUAUUAUCGCACGGACACAAGGUGUAUGUGUGCGUUUUCUGCUUUCUCAAUCGCUAACAUAGAAGACCCAACUAGGUGGGUGUAAUUUUGAUUUUGGGUGUGUGUGUGACAGAGAGAGAGGUGGGUGGGCCUCUCUUGCUUUUUAAUUGAUAAAACUGUAAAAAUAAAUAUAAAAGGGUAUUUUAAUC